rnacentral:rRNA from 1 species
GAGUUUGAUUCUGGCUCAGGAUGAACGCUGGCGGCGUGCCUAACACAUGCAAGUCGAGCGAGAAUCUUGGAAGUGGAGACUUCGGUCGAAGCGACUAAGAGGAAAGCGGCGGACGGGUGAGUAACGCGUGGGCAACCUGCCUCUUACUAGAGGAUAGCCACCGGAAACGGUGAUUAAUACUGUAUGAAGUGCAUUUAUCGCAUGAUAGAUGUCCCAAAGAUUUAUCGGUAAGAGAUGGGCCCGCGUCUGAUUAGCUAGUUGGCAAGGUAACGGCUUACCAAGGCGACGAUCAGUAGCCGACCUGAGAGGGUGAACGGCCACACUGGAACUGAGACACGGUCCAGACUCCUACGGGAGGCAGCAGUGGGGAAUAUUCGGCAAUGGGGGGAACCCUGACCGAGCAACGCCGCGUGAGUGAUUGAAGGUCUUCGGACUGUAAAACUCUGUUGAAUGGGAAGAUAAUGACGGACCAUUGAG